GAUGAACGCUGUCGGCGUGCCUAAUACAUGCGAGUCUAGCGAACGUACUAGAAGCUUGCUUCUCUGAUGUUAGCUGCGGACGGGUGAGUAACACGUGGAUAACCUACCUAUAAGACUGGGAUAACUUCGGGAAACCGGAGCUAAUACCUGAUAAUAUUUUGAACCGCAUGGUUCAAAAGUGAAAGACGGUCUUGCUGUCACUUAUAGAUGGAUCCGCGCUGCAUUAGCUAGUUGGUAAGGUAACGGCUUACCAAGGCAACGAUGCAUAGCCGACCUGAGAGGGUGAUCGGCCACACUGGAACUGAGACACGGUCCAGACUCCUACGGGAGGCAGCAGUAGGGAAUCUUCAGCAAUGGGCGAAAGCCUGAAGGAGCAACGCCGCGUGAGUGAUGAAGGUCUUCGGAUCGUAAAACUCUGUUAUUAGGGAAGAACAUAUGUGUAAGUAACUGUGCACAUCUUGACGGUACCUAAUCAGAAAGCCACGGCUAACUACGUG
rnacentral:rRNA from 1 species